rnacentral:rRNA from 1 species
AUAAUGGGUCAGCGACUUAUAUUCUGUAGCAAGGUUAACCGAAUAGGGGAGCCGAAGGGAAACCGAGUCUUAACUGGGCGUUAAGUUGCAGGGUAUAGACCCGAAACCCGGUGAUCUAGCCAUGGGCAGGUUGAAGGUUGGGUAACACUAACUGGAGGACCGAACCGACUAAUGUUGAAAAAUUAGCGGAUGACUUGUGGCUGGGGGUGAAAGGCCAAUCAAACCGGGAGAUAGCUGGUUCUCCCCGAAAGCUAUUUAGGUAGCGCCUCGUGAAUUCAUCUCCGGGGGUAGAGCACUGUUUCGGCAAGGGGGUCAUCCCGACUUACCAACCCGAUGCAAACUGCGAAUACCGGAGAAUGUUAUCACGGGAGACACACGGCGGGUGCUAACGUCCGUCGUGAAGAGGGAAACAACCCAGACCGCCAGCUAAGGUCCCAAAGUCAUGGUUAAGUGGGAAACGAUGUGGGAAGGCCCAGACAGCCAGGAUGUUGGCUUAGAAGCAGCCAUCAUUUAAAGAAAGCGUAAUAGCUCACUGGUCGAGUCGGCCUGCGCGGAAGAUGUAACGGGGCUAAACCAUGCACCGAAGCUGCGGCAGCGACGCUUAUGCGUUGUUGGGUAGGGGAGCGUUCU